CUGUGAUAGCAAGUUAACCACCUUUUCAGGUUACCAACUAAUGUUUAUUAUAUAUAUCUAUCGGUAAUUACCUUAUAAAUGACUUUAUUGUUUAAUAAUCGAUUUGAACAGGGCAUUUCUAGUGGUAUCAAACCGCAGGAGUUUGGUUUAUGCAUUGCCAUAUUGAGCGUCAUCUUACAUGGGGGAUGAAGACUGUCUUUAUAGUGAAAAAUGGACGCAGGCCCGAAGAACGCAUUUUCUCUCCUCCUAGGGACAUGCCACCUUGGUGAUUUUUCUAGUAUUUCUUUCACAAAUUACUAAUAUAUUUCUAUGUGUUUAUCAUUAGUAGUGAUUAUAUUAUUGAAGGAAACUAUCCUGAUAAAAAGAAUUUGUGGAAUUAAUAGUGUAUGUGAAACAAACCGAGAGUAGACAACUCUCGUUCGAUAUAA